ensembl:misc_RNA 7SK 7SK RNA
GGAUGUGUGGGCAUCUGCCUGGGACAUCUGUCAUCCCUCUGAUCACCAGGGUUGACUGUGGCUGACUAGGCAGGUGUCCCCUUCCCCUCCCACCACUCCAUGCACGUGCCCCCCUGUGCUUGGUGAGAAGACGACCGUCCUGGAGGGAGGAGGACCAUUUCCUCGGUCGAAGGCAAAUGAGUAGCUGUGCCUCCCCUGCUAGAACCUCCCAAAAAGCCCUCAAGAAUGAGAACUGCGGCUCCCGGAAACUCAGUACCUGAGGGGUGGGGGAGGUACGGACUGCAGGACAGUGUGCACGCGACAGCUGUGAGCUG